GAUGAACGCUGGCGGCGUGCUUAACACAUGCAAGUCGAACGAAGCAUUUGCGACAGAUUUCUUCGGAUUGAAGUUGCUUAUGACUGAGUGGCGGACGGGUGAGUAACGCGUGGGUAACCUGCCUCAUACAGGGGGAUAGCAGCUGGAAACGGCUGGUAAUACCGCAUAAGCGCACAGUACCACAUGGUACAGUGUGAAAAACUCCGGUGGUAUGAGAUGGACCCGCGUCUGAUUAGCCAGUUGGUGAGGUAACGGCCCACCAAGGCGACGAUCAGGAGCCGACCUGAGAGGGGGACCGGCCACAUUGGGACUGAGACACGGCCCAGACUCCUACGGGAGGCAGCAGUGGGGAAUAUUGCACAAUGGGGGAAACUCUGAUGCAGCGACGCCGCGUGAGUGAAGAAGUAGUUCGCUAUGUAAAGCUCUACCAGCAGGGAAGAUAGUGACGGUACCUGACUAAGAAGCUCCGGCUAAAUACGUGCCAGCAGCCGCCGUAA
rnacentral:rRNA from 1 species